GAUGAACGCUGGCGGCGUGCUUAACACAUGCAAGUCGAACGGAAAGGCUCCUGCUUGCAGGGGUACUCGAGUGGCGAACGGGUGAGUAACACGUGGGUGAUCUGCCCUGCACUUCGGGAUAAGCCUGGGAAACUGGGUCUAAUACCGGAUAGGACGAUGGUUUGGAUGCCAUUGUGGAAAGUUUUUCGGUGUGGGAUGAGCUCGCGGCCUAUCAGCUUGUUGGUGGGGUAAUGGCCUACCAAGGCGUCGACGGGUAGCCGGCCUGAGAGGGUGUACGGCCAAAUUGGGACGGAGAGCCGCCCAGGCCCCAUGCGGGGGGAAGGGGGGGGGAAUGUGGCAAAAGGGGCGGAGGCGGGAUGCAGCGCCGCGGGGGGGGGAAGGCCGGCUUGCGGGUUAAAAACGACUUUCGGAGGGGAGGAAGCAAAGGUGCGGUUACCGGAAGAAAAAGCACGGGCUAACUACGGG
rnacentral:rRNA from 1 species